rnacentral:rRNA from 1 species
UACGUAGGGUGCGAGCGUUAAUCGGAAUUACUGGGCGUAAAGCGUGCGCAGGCGGUGCGCCAAGCUCGAUGUGAAAGCCCCGGGCUUAACCUGGGAAUUGCAUUGAGGACUGGCGUGCUCGAGUGCGGCAGAGGGGGGUGGAAUUCCACGUGUAGCAGUGAAAUGCGUAGAGAUGUGGAGGAACACCGAUGGCGAAGGCAGCCCCCUGGGCCGACACUGACGCUCAGGCACGAAAGCGUGGGGAGCAAAUAGG